UGGGGAAUAUUGGACAAUGGGGGGAACCCUGAUCCAGCCAUGCCGCGUGUGUGAAGAAGGCCUUAUGGUUGUAAAGCACUUUAAGCGAGGAGGAGGGUACUGGUAUUAAUACUACCAACUACUGGACGUUACUCGCAGAAUAAGCACCGGCUAACUCUGUGCCAGCAGCCGCGGUAAUACAGAGGGUGCGAGCGUUAAUCGGAUUUACUGGGCGUAAAGCGUGCGUAGGCGGCUAAUUGAGUCGGAUGUGAAAUCCCCGAGCUUAACUUGGGAAUUGCAUUCGAUACUGGUUAGCUAGAGUGUGGGAGAGGAUGGUAGAAUUCCAGGUGUAGCGGUGAAAUGCGUAGAGAUCUGGAGGAAUACCGAUGGCGAAGGCAGCCAUCUGGCCUAACACUGACGCUGAGGUACGAAAGCAUGGGGAGCAAACAGG
rnacentral:rRNA from 1 species